rfam:Picea glauca, whole genome shotgun sequence.
GACUCUCGGCAACGGAUAUCUCGGCUCUUGUCACGAUGAAGAACGUAGCGAAAUGCGAUACUUAGUGUGAAUUGCAGAAUCCCGUGAAUCAUCGAGUUUUGAUAUGGCUCUCAUUUUCAAUUGUAA